GUCAAACACAUUGGCUGAGCCGCCUCGACAAAUACCUGCCCUCCACUCAGAGGCAGAAUGUCAUUGCUGAGAAUGAGGAAAUGGAGUGAAAGUGGAAGAACUGCAGAGCGUGGGCUCCUGGGGACUGGCCGCGGCUGGGACGCCCACCCCAUGCAGACUCUAUUAUAGCCUUCGCAGAAGCAAACACUGUAAUCAAGGUGGCUAGAAUGGGCUGCUAUUCCCCAGGAGAGAAGAAAGCAGCCCCAGGAAGCCUGGCCACGAGAACUGUGAGGUGUGGUGGGGCCUUGCUAUGCCCUGGACUGGACAAGAGGCACCCUGGGCUCUGGACAGACAGACCUUCAGCAAACUGCAUCUGUGACCGAGGGCAGGCCCUUUAUCCAAUAGCCCAGAGAUGCCCCUCUCCUCACCUAGGAGACAAAACCAACACGGUCUGCAUAGCCUCCUCCUCCAGGACAUUGGAAGGGCUAAAUAAGAUCAGAAAAGCAGCCAGGCAGCAGGGCCACCUCAUGUGCCCCAGUGCAGGUGACAGAGCUCCAAACAAUUCACACUGCCUGAAAUAUGCAGGAAACACAACCGCAGUAAGCUCAGGACAGUAG
rnacentral:lncRNA from 13 species